GAUGAACGCUGGCGGCGUGCCUAACACAUGCAAGUCGAGCGCGAUUGUUUGGAUUGGAAACUUCGGUCAAAGAGAAGAACAUGAAAGCGGCGGACGGGUGAGUAACGCGUGAGCAACCUGCCCUGUACAGGGGGAUAGCCACUGGAAACGGUGAUUAAUACCCCAUAAGUCUGUAGGACCGCAUGGUCCAGCAGACAAAGCCUUGGCGGUACAGGAUGGGCUCGCGUCUGAUUAGCUAGUUGGUGAGGUAACGGCUCACCAAGGCUUCGAUCAGUAGCCGACCUGAGAGGGUGAACGGCCACACUGGAACUGAGACACGGUCCAGACUCCUACGGGAGGCAGCAGUGGGGAAUAUUGCACAAUGGGCGCAAGCCUGAUGCAGCAACGCCGCGUGAGUGAAGAAGGCCUUCGGGUCGUAAAACUCUGUCCUAAGGGAAGAAGAAGUGACGGUACCUUAGGAGGAAGCCCCGGCUAA
rnacentral:rRNA from 1 species